rnacentral:rRNA from 1 species
GACCUCGGAUCAGGUAGGGAUACCCGCUGAACUUAAGCAUAUCAAUAGGCGGAGGAGAAGAAACCAACUGGGAUUGCCUCAGUAACGGCGAGUGAAGCGGCAUCAGCUCAGAUUUGAAAUCUGGUUCUUUCAGAGCCCGAGUUGUAAUCUGUAGAGGAGUCUUCGGGUUUGGAUCUGGCCUAAGUUUCUUGGAACAGAACGUCAUAGAGGGUGAGAGUCCCGUAUGAGGCCAGCUACCUAUUCCCAUGUGAAGCUUCUUCGACGAGUCGAGUUGUUUGGGAAUGCAGCUCAAAAUUGGUGGUAAAUUUCAUCUAAAGCUAAAUAUUGGCGGGAGACCGAUAGCGCACAAGUAGAGUGAUCGAAAGAUGAAAAGCACUUUGAAAAGAGAGUUAAAAAGUACGUGAAAUUGUUGAAAGGGAAACGC